CCUGGAGAAUGUAAGAGGGAGAAGAAUCGGUGGAAGAUAAAAAAGGCAGCAGCAAAGUCACCAUUAUUCCAUUAGAGACAAAUACAAAAGCAGGUGGUAUGGCCUAUCCAUAAUUUUAAAGAAAAAAAGUGGCGAGUGUUCCUAUUGCUCAAUAGUGACCCUUCCAGCAAAUAAAGGAGCCGCACUGAAGGGAUCCAAAAAAGUCACAGUCCAGCCCCUGACAGCAUCAAAAAGCUGGUAGUUACAGCAUCAGUUUAGUGGGUAAUGGUAAUGAUUGAGAAGAGUCCCAAAUCUUUUUACUUUGAGAUUAUUGCAAUUGUCCAAUCAAAAAAAGCAGAAGUGCCAAUAACUAUUCUAAAACUUAUUACAUGGAAGAAACCAGAAAUGCCAAGAUGAGGAAAGAAACUAUGAAUUCAGUUACACAGAAGAAAUGCUGCCAGUUUAUUGGAUGCAAUGCAUUUAUUUCUGAAAGUGCAUUAGAACCAGAAACUGACUUUUUAAUCCAGCAAGUCUCCAGGACUAUGCUACACAUAGCCUCAUGGAACACAGGUUCCCAAACAAGCAGCUAACAAGAUAGCAGGCGAUGCAGGAUUGGAGUGGAGGAAAUAGGACAAAGACUAAAAACGGUCAUCCCCAAACAGUAGAGUGACAGCUAGCACACAUUUGCAUCCUUCUGUCUCUGCUUAAAAUGCCUGCCUAUAGGAUGAGCCACAAAAUGCAUUACAAGCUCAGAAGACAGUAUCUGGCAUCCUAAUCACAGAACACUUUGAAAACAAGUUCAACAUGAAAUGAUAAAAAUAUGAUUUAGGGAUCCUGUCAGAAAAUUGGACCUGUAAUCUAACAUAGUGGGGAGGGAAGAAGUAUUCUGACAGCAAAAUUAAACUCAGAGAUUAAAAUUACCCUUUUUAAAUAACCAAAGUAAAAGUUAGAGACUAUCAGCUGAGCAGACUUCAUAAUCCUUUUCAGACUCCAAAAAGACCACUUGAUUGAAUACAUUUACUACUUCUUUUUAACCAUGAAUAUUUGAUGAAGUUUCACAAUAACUUAUUACUGCUUCUCACCAGGCAAUAAAACUUAAUGAAUUGGUCUCAACUUAACAAAACCAUACUCCUCAAUACAACCCCUAAAAGCCUGACAUUACAUUCAACAAAAUGAGCUUACAUUCAAUUCAAACUUUCCUCCAGACAAUGAACCCAGGUUUUUACUUAAUGGAGUUUGCCGUGAGUUCAGCUGUAAUGUUUGUAUUGUAUCUAUUUCCACAAGGACUGACACAAGAACACUUUGUGUUAACUUACUAAGCAGCUCUUUCACACCGUUUACAUGCAUGAUGGGUAUUAGUUCUGAACCAAGACCCUUGCUACUUAGCAUUCAAAACAGGAAAAUUAAGAUGCUUAGAACAAAAUACACUACAAAAGGCUAAUACAACAUGCUACUAAUUCCUGUUCUUUCAACCAUAGUCCCUUAAGUAGAAGCAAUGCACCUGCAAAUGAAUAGCACUUUAUCAUUCAGUUACAUUUUUAGUAUAGAGAAAGAUGGAUGUAGUUCAGCACAAACAAGUUUUAUUCUUAAUGGUUUGGUACUACCAACAUUUAUAUUUAUAUCUGUAGAGAGAGCUAUUAAGCAGUUAAUAUGUAGCUCUACAAUACUUGGUGUUAGAAACCAAUUGAAAUGCACAGUCCUUACAUCCAUUUCAUUCUCAAAACAAAGAAGAUGCAUUUAUUGGAACCUUUUCUGUUCUUUCUGAAGCAAUACCGAUUAAAUAUUUUUUCUUUACAUUUGCCGAUUUUGUUGGGUUAUGCAGAAAUGGCAAUAUUUUUGCAGAAUCAAUGAAUUAUGUUAAGUAAUAAGGAAAGAAUACAUGCAACAACAUUUCAAAAAAUUAAUCUUUGUUUUCAACAAUACAAGUGCAUUAUUUACAGAGAUCUUAAGUCUUCACUGCUGAUAGAGUUGUAGGAAACUAACUAAGAAUCUGUAUGAUUUUAAUUUUAUAUAUCUGAAAAAAGGUGUACAAAAUAAUCUAGAAUUCAAACAGAACUUCCAAGCAGUUCCGUUUGAACUGAUCAGCAAGAUCAGCUCAACUAAUCUUUGCAAUAACUCAGACUAUGUGGAAAAACAUCUAAAUGAGUGAAUAUGCAGUAUGGAGUAUUAUAUGUAAGGUACACCUAAAACUUUGCUCCCCUCACAUAUGCAAGUUUCUUCAUCUACCAGUGAUAAGGAAGACAAACUUUUACAUGUUGAAAGCAUGCAAGGUGCAGCCCUUACUGACUGCCACCACAGGAAAAUCUUGCUUUCCAUAAAACAGCAUUAAAUCAUGAGAUCAGAAACUUAGCAGAUAGAGCAACAGAGAGUUCUUAGUGCUAUGACUACAAAGUCUUUUUACCUGCUGUCUUCCAAAGAACCUUCCCUUGAAAUGGAGCCUGGCAUGAUUCAAGCAAUGAAAGAAAUGGGGUUCUUCCAUUAUUUUUAUGGAUUAUCAAGAUCUCCAUUUCUUAGAGGGAAUCCCAGAAUCCUCAGUUUGAGUGGUGGCUUAAGUUUAAAUGACCCAAGUUUAAGUUAGUGAUUCCUGGAGUACAGAAAUCUGGAAGCAUCACUAGCAUACAACUAGUAUAUUUCUUUAAUACCUGUACUCUUAUGGAAAUAUCCAUUAUAUACAAGGCACUUCCCAAACACUUCUCUGAAGUGCUAACAAUCUGAGGAGUUACUGAAAUAUGUUUACUGUCUUUCCCUUGUGCAUGUGGCUUAAACCCCCCCCCCCCCCCCACACACACACAUCAGUGAGAGGUUUGUUUCUUUUACCAAAGCAAGGCACUCAUCUUACCAAUUGGCAUUGCUUUGGCCAUCUAUUUCUAUGCUCUGGACCAAGCAGCAUAUAAAAUUUAAAUUUCAUGGGAAAGCCUUUACUGAGUAUUUGCAUGAAGCAGCUAGGCACUGCUGAAAUUUCAAAAAAUUCAGAUUUUUUUCAGCAGAUACUGUCUGUCAUCUUCUAUCCUCAAAUCAUUUCUUCACUGCACUUGCCCACUAUCCUGAAAAUAAGUUAUCCCCCAUGAAAUGCCAUAGAAAUAGCUAUUCUGUUUCUAGUAGUCAGAGCAGCACAGGUAUAUCUAUAUAGCACUGUAUUUAGCUGUGUUGAUGCACUCUGUUCAGAAAAUAAUCCAGCUGACUACUGGUCAAACAUAGGCAAAGCAUGUUAUGACAAAGUGUACAAGAACCUGAAUGAAGCCAAGACUUGUUAAGCCUAUGUUUUAUAAAAGUAUUGCCUGUAAUGUAUUACCUUCAUAAACAGAAGCAUGUGAGGUGAUGAUGGGAAAUACAUUAUGGACUUGUAAGCUAAACUUGCUUUGUAGUAGGACAUGAGUAGUGUCUCUUUGUACAUUGUUUGACUGUGGAUAAUUUUAAUACAGAGAUGAUUCUUGUACUAGCAGGCAGUUACAAUAUUUGAAACAGUAUGUACAUGGUAUACAAAGUGUCUGUUUUUAAAUAAUUUUAGAAGUUAUGUGAAAGCAGAAGUUCUAAGUUAUUUGCAUUAGUUUCAGUUGAGAGAAAUGGAACCACCUGAAGUUGCACUGUGUAAUGAAAGUAUGUCCAAUAUAAAAGUUACAGUUUCAUUAACUUUUGUACUACAGCAGAAAGAUUAGACCAGUUGCAAAGCAAGAUACUACAUUUAUGCUAAGGACUAUUUUAGAGGUUAGUGAAAUACUUUUUUCUCCUCCUUCCAUGAAGUCCAGAUGAAAAGGAGGGUACUUCAACAGCUGCAAAUCUGCAAUCAGUGACAAUUCAGAGUGUGGAUACUGCCCAGCUGGAUACUCCUACCAUAAAAGCCAGACCAAUCAUGUAAACAAUGCUCCUUACUCAUUCUGUCAUUCUUCUAUCACAUGCACAUGAAGCAAGAACACUUCAUUCUAGGUGGGUUUCAUGGAGUAAGGAAUGGAAGAAUGUGUUGAAUGAAUGGAAUAACGUGCACUUAUGUUCAUGUUAAAGUUUCAGAGAAUCAGAGCAGAUGCAAACAAAGUAGUUGCACCAAUAUUACACUGGUAUUUGUCCCAAUAUUAUCAGAAUAAUUAGGGGGGUCUCUUUUUUUUUUUUUUUUACUGGCUUUACUCCCCCACCCCAAGCUUAGUAUUAAACAGUGUCUUUGCCGGUGGUAUAAAAAUACUCACUAUUGUGGCAUCUACUCAAACUCAGUAACUUACCAAACAAGCAUUUUAUUCAUGCUGAUGGAGUUAUGGCAGUUGCUCCACAGUAAUUGCAACCAGUGUUCUUUGAUCAUAAGAGAUUUAUGAUUGGGGGAUGAAAUUAGAGACUAAGGCAGGAUUUUCUGAGAAAAAUUUAAGUUAAGAUACUAGAUUCCUAAACACCCUCUAUGUAUUUAGAAUUAAAAUAACUUAUGUAUGUAAAAUUGGAAGGAAUAUAAUUCUUAGCUUAAGCAUUAAAGUGACAGUUCAGCUACAUUAGCAAGGUAGCUCAAGACAACAGGAACACAUUUAAAUGUUGAAUGAGUUACAUAUGUGUGUGUGCAAUGUUGUAGGAGUUAGUGUUGCUAUUGAAGCUCAUGGGGUUUUGGAUUUGUUUUUUUUGUUCUUUCAUAAGCAUAUGUUAACUGUUGAACUACAACUUCAUUGCUGCUUUACUCUUAAAAAUGCAGAUGAAGAAAAGAUUUUCCUGAUAAUAAUUAGAAAGCAAUUUUUCAAAAAGGAAGAAGUACAAGUGAGAGGUUUCCUAACAAGGUAAAGUUUUGCCCCCUCAAAAGCAAGGGGAUGGUUGUUUUUGUCUUCUUGGGCUUGAUUCAGAGAGCAACAUUGUUGAAGCAAAGUAGCAGAGAGUUAAAUAAAAAAAGUGCAAUUCUGAAUCAUCAUGGAACAACUGAGGUCUCAGAAAAGAAUACCUGCUGUUAUAUGCAAACUACAUUUAAAAGAGGAAGGACUAGAAGCUACAUAGUAGUAGCAGCAUUAAAAAGAGUAUAAGUCUACUUCUCCCUCCUGCCCCCCCAAAAGAGGAAGAGAGCAGCUGAGAUAAGGCAAUUGUUGUCUUAAUUAAAAACCCACUAGCAGAGUCUCCUUGAAAUCUAACACAAUUGCUUAUCAGAUUUGUUGACAAAACUCACUUGGAUGUCUCCUGUUAUUUCUGUCCUUUCCUUUGGUUUUAAAAAGGUGCAAGAGGAAAAACAGAAUAUUAGAUCUAGUCACAAAAUUAUUAUUUGUAAUAAUGUUUAACUGAAAGAAAAAUACUUCACAAGUAGAGUAGUUUAGAGACUUCAAAAUUUUGGAUAGAAUGACAUUUUGGCUCAUGAGCCUAAGGUAAUUGUAUAUUAAGAAUUCAAUUAAAAUUUACAGAACAGACCAUUAGUAGCAGUUCUGAGAAGUGUUUAACAGUUUCAUUAAUUUUAUUUUCUCAAUAAGUGAUAUCCUACAUAAUGUAAUUACAAUACUGACAGCAGUUCUCCCAAACUGAAGUUUAGGCUUCUGAAUGACAAUAGAACUUGCAGAAGGCUCUGGAGACUGCUUAGAAGAACAGCAGCAACAGAAGUGUCUAACAGUUCUAAUAAAAGAUGCCAUUUGUAGUGCUUGAAGAGAAACCUGCUGAAGUGUUGGAAAGAUUAAGAAUUAGACAGAUGUCUUAUUCUUCUCUUAUCAUUAAAUUAUUACUGCUGCAUGUAAUAAAGCUGCAGCUAUAAAUGAACCUAACAAAAGUUCAGUUAUUCUGCUUGCAUUCUGGAUGUUCCAGUGAACAAGUUAGCCAUAAUCAAGAGUUCUCCAAAGCCUAGAGUUGUAUAUUUCCUUCUAUUCAGAUUUGAAACAAUUUUUUCAAAUGUCUUGUCUAAUCCAGAUGUUGGGGCAAGGGGUGCGGAAAACCCAAUCCAACAAUGCUUUUCAGAGUUUUCCUUCCCGUUUUUACUUUUUCCUCAACUAUGAGCUCCGUCACUAAGGUCAUUAUAAAAACAACACAUACUUUAGAUUUAUACCAUACUAUUGGAUAUAUACCAUAUAUAUACACCAUACUAGGAUUGGGGUGGAUGGGCGGGGGAGAACAUACUGAAUAAUUCAAAAAAGUGGGGUAAAAUGCAAUUCCAGUGCACCCUGGUAACCUGCUAAUGACAUUAUUAUGCAGAGACAGGAUUAAGUUUCUAUAACUGUACUUUAACUGCACUAAUCUCAGAAAAAUUAGACUGUUAUCCUAUUCUUGUAUUUGAAUAUUUACAUUAAUAAGUACAUAUUAAGACCUGAGUGGAUUUGAGGCAUAAGAAAGUUUAAGCAGGUGUUAAUAUAAAUACUGUGCGUUUGAUACUGGAAUAAAGUGGUGUUACCUAGUUUUAGUUGAA